CUUGUUAGCUGUUCUAUCCAUUUUGCAUUCUUACAUUUGCCUCAUUGUAUUUGAUCUUUGGUUUAUUUUCCAUCUUCUCUUCUUCCUAUAUUAAACUCCAGCGUUCAGGACUGCGAUUGUGUUGAAUUCUGCUGGGAAAUGAUGAUGGGAGAACUAGCAAACAGAUCAGAGCUGCGGAAGGAAUUAGAGAGAGAACGCCGUCGUAUAAGGGACAGGCAAAGAAGACAAUCUAUGAGCCUUGAAGAAAAGAAACGCAUCUAGCUAGACGCCGAAGAAAUUAUGAAUUGAGGAGGCAAAGGGCUGAAACUGCUCGAUCAAACCCUUCUCCAUUGCCAAUUCAAUUGCCUUUAAGUAAUGCCUUAACUUGUGUUUCUAAUGCCAGUCCUCAGUUUAAUGUUGCUGAUGCUUUUGUAAGAUCCAAUGAUGAACAGCAAAGACCAGUGCUUGAUAACAAAAGCUCCCACCGUUUGGAAAUCCCUGCUCAUAAGUUAGCUAUUUUUACCUGCAAAGGUACGAUUGAAUCGCAUACAUAAAGCAUCUGGCUCGAGUGAUAAACAAUCCUGUUGGUAGUGUGGUUGCAGUUGGUGGGAUGAUGAAGGAAAAUGGAACUUCCAAUUGUUUAACAUCCAAAGGAUUGUGAUUGAAUCGUAUUAAUCAUCUUGCUCGAACAAUAAGUCCUGCUGGGCAAUAGAGUCUUAGUCAAAGCCAUCAAAGCAUAACAAAAGCUAAGAAUACACAUUUACUUAUAUAUAAUGCACCAUGACACAC